rnacentral:rRNA from 1 species
AUGAAUGCUGGCGGCGUGCCUAACACAUGCAAGUCGAGCGGUAACAGGGGUAAUUUAUUACCUGCUGACGAGCGGCGGACGGCUGAGUAACGCGUGGGAACAUACCCCAAAGUGAGGGAUAACUGCCCGAAAGGGUGGCUAAUACCGCAUAUGGUCUUCGGAUUAAAGGAUUUAUCCGCUUUGGGAAUGGCCUGCGUACGAUUAGAUAGUUGGUGAGGUAAAGGCUUACCAAGUCUACGAUCGUUAACUGGUCUGAGAGGAUGAUCAGUCAGACUGGAACUGAGACACGGUCCAGACUCCUACGGGAGGCAGCAGUGAGGAAUCUUCCACAAUGGGCGAAAGCCUGAUGGAGCAACGCCGCGUGCAGGAUGAAGGCCUUCGGGUCGUAAACUGCUUUUAAAAGUGAAGAAUAUGACGGUAGCUUUUGAAUAAGCACCGGCUAACUACGU